CCCUCUUGUCUUUGUCUGUUCAUUGCUUCUGUUCCUGGUUCUGUCUCUGUGAUGCCCCUCGUCGAGUGUGUCUGCAUUGUGGUGAACAUUAAUAUUGGGACCAUUAAUAUUAAUGGUGCAUGCACUGAUGCAAAGAGAGCCUCCCUGUUCAAACUGUGUGAACUGAAGAACCUGGAUGUGGUGUUUGUCCAAGAGACUCACAGUAGCCUUUUUUAGAUAGAAAAGGCGGCACAUUUGCUCCAAGGCUGGCGGUUGUGAGCCCCCUGUUCUGAUGACCCGUUCCCCACCCUCACCAUUUGCCCCAGUUCAGACCAACAGUGUGAGGUGAGCCUGAAGGAGGCCAAGAGCAAGGCACUGUCUGCUCUGAUGGUGAAGUGUCUGAACAGACAGAGGCUGCAGCAUUGGUCCCAGCUACCAUGGUGAGCUCAACUGGCCUUGGGCGAGGAGGUCCAGCCUGAAUGGAGGAGUUUCUACAAACCUCCACUCUCCAAGAGGGUGGCGGACCUCCAGUGGAGACUCCUGCAUGGGAUUUUAGCUGUAAAUGCUUUUAUAUCUGCCCUGAUCUCUGCUGUCCCAAACACCUGUCCUUUUUGCGCGGCAGUAGAAACUGUAUUUCACUGUUUUGCAGAGUGUCCUCGUCUCAUACCUCUCUUCUCCAUGUUGGACUAUUUGUUCAGGGAGGCAGGAGAGGUUUUCUCUCUCAGAAUCUUCAUUCUUGGCUUUCGAUAUAAAAAUCUCAAAAGGAUAAAUGCCAAAUGAUGAACUUUAUUCUGGGUUAAUCAAAGAUGGCUAUGUACGUGUGUAGGAAGAGGAAGGUGGAGGACAGUGUGGACUCUGACAUUGUGCUGUUGCCGAGCAGAAUGAUAAAAGUGAGGAUCUUGAUUGAUUUUAAUUUUUACCUGGAGCGUUUCACAAUGACAAGGACUCAUGGUGGUGUACUGUGCUCUGUGCAGGAGAAUGGACUCAGAUCAGCUGGUCUGAUCUAUUUGUUUCAGAUUUUAUUCAAAUUUAUUUUUCUGAUGUGAACCGAUAUGACUCACACAGAUUUAAUAAAGAUGUGUUGAAAAAUCAAAA